AAGCGGGGGCAAAGCAGCUUUAGGGCGGCGGUGGGGGCUGAAAUCCCAUCUGCCCGCCCGGGUUUAUUAUCCCUUUAUUUUCCACCCGCCGGCUGGGAAGCGGCUCCAUCAGCUCCGGCAUCAUCUCUCCAUCCUGAGCGGAGCCGCCGGGGAGGGGAAGGACACGGAGAGGGAGGGGGGAAAAGUGGGGGGGGGUCCCCGUGGAGCCCAGCGGCCGCUCUCUCUGCCCAGCGUCCCCCCCCUUUCCCCCAGACUCGCCAUGCUGGAUAUUUUCAUCCUGAUGUUUUUCGCCAUCAUCGGCCUGGUGGUCCUCUCCUACAUCAUCUACAUGCUCUAGAGCCGGGCAGGGGAGGAAGAUGGGGCUGAGCCUCAGCCCUGCCAUCCGAGCAUCCCCCAGACUGGUCCCUCGGAGCCUUCUGGAAAAGGAUUAACCCUCUGUGGGGCGAGGAGCUGCACUGGGGGGGGCACCGGCGGCGAGGGGGGGGCUCAGGAGGGAGAUGGGGUGUCAGGGGAGAGGUGACACCCCACUACCGAGACCCCAGUUGUUCCUGGUGACACAGGUGGCAUCCCCGGGGGGGGGUGCGAAGGGUCCUGCCCCAACCGCCUGGCGUAGCCCCCCGGGACGAGCGCUUCCGAGGUCGGUCGGGUUUAAUUUUAGAAUAAGCACUUAUAUUUUUAACGAAAAAUGUUGAAGGAAGUAAAAUAAAGAGAGGAAUGACACGGGA